CACUCAUGAAUAACGCCCCUUUUUCUGUAGCUUCUUGGCUUCACUUACUCUUGGUAGGGCUGACACAAGUACACAUCUCAAGUCAUGUUUUACUUUUAAAUAUCUAUGAAUGGCCGGUUUUUUUGUUUGUUUCCUUUUUUUAACUUUAAGACUUUGCAUACAGCAGUGCAUCAGUGAUACAGUUCCUUUGGGUUUCGCCAGUGAUUGUUUUCCAUCAGUCACUGCAGGAAGAUUCAGCAAGCUUUGUUUUUCUUUCAAACAUGCAUUCAACUAAAUAUGAUUCAGAAUAGAUUACUACUUCCUUUUUAUCAUUACAAUUAGCUAAAAACAAAAUUGCCAAACUGUUC
rnacentral:lncRNA from 1 species